rnacentral:lncRNA from 1 species
UGUUGCUGCCCUUAGAGUAAGUGCAGCCUCUGGUUCUACUGAUGGGCCCUUUCACUUGAACAGUGUUUCAGUGGGACCUACAGUCACUCCUGAAGAAAUAAGAUCAGUGAUGUACUAUGGGGAACAAGUAUGGUUAGGAACCUGCUGCACUGGAUGGCCUGAGGUGUUCCUGGUCCACUGGCCACAACACUUCAAUGGAGGAUUCUGGCCAAAUUUAUUCUUUGGUGAGGUAACAAUGGAAGCCAUGCUCAUGUAUACAUGACAGAAGCCACAGGCUGAAGUCUUUCUCCUGCUACCUCUCUAAGCAGCUCACUGCCAGCUCCGGUGUCCAUGAGGUUCGUGGAGUCUACUGCUGCUCAGAUUCUGAAGAUACGUGGUGAGAGAAGUCUACUCUUUGCCUGAUCAACUCACCCCAUCCUCAGGAGUUGCUAGGGCCCAGGAGAAUGCUAAUGUUUUAUGCAGAGAGUGAUUGUGACUACUCCUCCUUCAAGCCUGAACUUAGAGGGCACUCGUCCUGUGGGAAUGCAGUAACCUGAAGUGUUCCAGAAGGGCUACCUCCAGGUGCACCUGUGCUCAGCUCUCAUGGGAGAAGCCCCAGCUGGGUCUGUAGUGGUGGAUGAGGGGCAGAGGAAAUCUCUCUCCAAGAGCCUUCACAAGCUCCAAGACUGCCUGACUGCUGAGGUGAUGCUUCAUACUUACCUUACUGAGCACAGCUUUGCACCUGUGCCUCUGCUGAAAAAAAUUUCUCAGAAGAAGAAAUUUGGGGGACUCAAGGCCUGCCAUCUAAAUUUUUUGGCCCAUGGGGUGAUCCCUUGAUGUGGUGCACUCUCCCUUCCCCUAGGAGUAGAAGUCCCUAAGCAACAGACCACCAUGGGUGCUUCAGCUCCUCUGGGUCUAGCUACCCAGUGGGGCUGCCUCACUCCAGGCUGGUGCUUGAGAAUGUUUGCAAGAAAUCUAAUGAUGUGAUCUGUCCUCAGAGCAGGUACCAACACCAGCUCUGAUGGGGGUGGCAGGGGAGCAAUGUGGAUUCUGUGGGAUUAUUUGGUUAUAAAUAGCGUUAAUGUGUUGGCUUUCUCAAAUGCUAGUUGUAGUAGUAAUGAACUGGUCACAUGGACAGACUCAGGACCUCAUAGUCAGCCAGAGUGAUGCAGGCAACGGUGAUAGCUGAGGUCAUGCACAAGUUGUCUCCUUCCUGCAUGCUAUUAUCGUGCUUGCAGAUGCUAUAAUGGACCAUGUCAGUUGGGCUCCAGCCAGAAGGUGGUGCUUGCAAAAGAGCACCAGCUGCAGUGGUAGCAGCACGAUUUGUGCUUGCCCUUAUGUUACCCAGGGGAGGUACUCUGGUGAUUCAGGCAAUGAGGAGGGUCAUAGAGCUCUGAAAUUUUCGGUCAUUUGUGUUAAGCUUCCUUGUGUUAAGCUGAUUUCGUGAGUAGUGGGGAGUACAUGAGAAGCAGUGUCAGGACGGACUUCACAUGCAUUCCCAGAUUCUGUCAGGGAUGGAGGAAAGCCAUUCUGAUUCUACCUUACAGGGACCUCAUAGAAAUCAGCGAGCUAACUCGCUGUGUGUGGAGGGGCAAAUCCAGGUGGGGGAUGUGUCAGGCAAGUCCAUCCUUUUCUCCACAAGUGGGCAAAAUCAGCAGCCCUGGUGUGGAUGAGAGAGUGAUUCUCUUGCCACAGGGCUAAUGUUCCAGGGAGGAUUGAAGCUGCCUCUGCUGCACAGAAGAGCCUGUACAGGUAUUGGGGAGCAUCAGGUGGCGGUAAAACCCACAUAGCUCCCAUGCACUUGGCAAGGCAGGUUUUGCCCCCAUAGUAUUCCACUAGCAGCAGCUCGCUAGGUUCCAGACAGUCUGCACUCAGAACUCAAAACUGCACCAGGCCAUAAGCUUUCCCUGAGGAAACAGUCAUCACAGCUUUCAGGUCAUGACCCUUCUGGUCUGUCUGCAAGGCAGGAACAUCCAGCUCCUGUGCCCACGGCUGCAGCAUACUUCCCACUCUCCCCUUGGUUCUGGCCAAGGAGGUUUGUCCCCACUUGAGAUCGUAUCACAAA